ACUAGAUCUUUGUUGCAGCAAAUGCAUUUACUUGCUUCGGCAAACAAGAUUUAUAAAGACACUUCUUCUGUGGUGUAUCCUGUAUGUAUCAAGAAGCUCUUGGAUCUGAAUUGUGCGAUGACUAUGUUGUCUCUCUGCCCGAUUGGUUUUCAGCCAGGAGCUAGAAUUGUUGCUUCAGUUGCAGAUUCAAGUUGCCAGGGCCAAGAAGAUAAAAAUAUCGGAUGUCAAGUGUUAGCGGUGAUUCCAAUUGACUUGCAUAUAAGUGGGUAAGCUGAAACAUCAAACAGAAAGGUGGUCUCCUGCCUCCCCAAUUCUUUCCUUCUGGAUAAGAGUCCCCCCAACUCUUCAACUACAUGCACUUCGCUUGCUGCUUUUUGAGACCAGCAUUGCAAGUCUAUUUUUGAGUUCCUCCAAUUGUGUGCUCACUGUCCACUUUUUCCUGCAGAAUUGCAAUUUCUUCAUCUAGUUCAGCUAUAGCAGGGCUUCAGGUACUUCCAUUACUUCAAAAUAAAUUUUGUAUUACCAUAUUUUCUGUUGAUUAUAUUUUAUUGUGGAGAUUGAGUCUGUAUAUGAUGUAACAAAAGAAAAAAGAACAGGGCUAUUCACAUCAUGGGGCAGCAUCUUGUAGCCGUUUGUUGGCUAAAGUCAGCCAGAAGCACCCAGAUUCAGGUCUUUUUUCUCUCAAAGGUCACAGAGGUACUAACCGCCAUCAUCUUUGAUGGACGAAGUGUAAGGUGUGAGUUGAUGGAGGUGAUGGCCAUCUUUUAUUGUUGGUGGUAACUGUGGAAGGCAAUCAUGAUUUACAUUAAGAUUGUACUGCGCAAAAACGUGAAAGUCAAAUGUACAAAAUUUACCAGACACUGCAUCAGUAGUGCAGGUCAAUAGAUCUAAUACAAGAAUGAGUAUAUGAUCGUGGAGGUGAUGUUUUCAAAGUGUGCCUUUCAAAAGUGCAUGGAAUGUUGAUGUCUAAGUUGCAUUCUGCGCAGCAAAAGACAGCGUUAGUGCUCUUCACAAUGCAUCAGUGAGCAUUCCUUCCUGAUACGGGAAGAAGUGGAUAUGCAGGGUGACAGGGUGUUGCAUAACUGAGGGCAUUUCAGCACAUGAUUUAUGGUGCAGGAAAGAGCAGCACUGCUCCAGCGGCAGCUGAUGACUGUGAAUUGGAGAAAGAAGAGGCAAUCCAGACAAACAUAGACCUCACCUAGUAUGCUUUGCACUCUGAUUCUGGUUUCAAGCUUCACGUAGAGGACACCAAGCAGAUGCUGAUGGGCGAAAUGGCAAAAAAAACUGGGCCUUUCUCGCCCUCCAGGACUUGUGAACGUAGACUUAUAGCCGCACAGUCCAUGUCAAGGCUGAAAUUGCAUUCGCUGCAGCGGGAAACUAUAUGGCAGGCAUAACGUUGGAGGUCUACCAAUUGAUCGAAAGGAAGAGAGAUGGCGAUCCCGGCGUUGCAUCUCUAGGGGAAGAUUCAAUAAUUAUAAAGCUGAGUUGAAAACAAACUAGAGAGGUACUCUUUUGAGUAAUUACAAGUAAACCUGUCCAAAUGAUGGAAUGAACCAUAUUUGGAUGAAAUAAAAAUU